CUUCUCGGGAUGAUGUGCGGGAACAGAGAGCACAGUUUUUCCGGUCCUUUGAGAAAAUUGG
rnacentral:rRNA from 1 species